rnacentral:rRNA from 1 species
GAGCUCGCGUCUGAUUAGCUAGUAGGUGUGGUAAGAGCGCACCUAGGCGACGAUCAGUAGCUGGUCUGAGAGGACGAUCAGCCACACUGGGACUGAGACACGGCCCAGACUCCUACGGGAGGCAGCAGUGGGGAAUUUUCCGCAAUGGGCGAAAGCCUGACGGAGCAAUACCGCGUGAGGGAGGAAGGCUCUUGGGUUGUAAACCUCUUUUCUCAAGGAAGAAAAAAAUGACGGUACUUGAGGAAUAAGCAUCGGCUAACUCCGUGCCAGCAGCCGCGGUAAUACGGAGGAUGCAAGCGUUAUCCGGAAUGAUUGGGCGUAAAGCGUCCGCAGGUGGCAAUGAAAGUCUGCUGUUAAAGAGUGAGGCUCAACCUCAUAAAAGCGGUGGAAACUACAUAGCUAGAGUACGUUCGGGGCAGAGGGAAUUCCUGGUGUAGCGGUGAAAUGCGUAGAGAUCAGGAAGAACACCGGUGGCGAAAGCGCUCUGCUAGGCCUGUACUGACACUGAGGGACGAAAGCUAGGGGAGCGAAUGGGAUUAGAUACCCCAGUAGUCCUAGCCGUAAACGAUGGAUACUAGGCGUGGCUUGUAUCGACCCGAGCCGUGCCGGAGCUAACGCGUUAAGUAUCCCGCCUGGGGAGUACGCACGCAAGUGUGAAACUCAAAGGAAUUGACGGGGGCCCGCACAAGCGGUGGAGUAUGUGGUUUAAUUCGAUGCAACGCGAAGAACCUUACCAAGACUUGACAUGUCGCGAACCUCUUUGAAAGGAGAGGGUGCCUUAGGGAGCGCGAACACAGGUGGUGCAUGGCUGUCGUCAGCUCGAGUCGUGAGAUGUUGGGUUAAGUCCCGCAACCAGCGCAACCCUCGUUUUUAUUUGCCAGCAUUAACUUUGGGCACUCUAGAAAGACUGGCCGGUGACAAACCUGGAAGAAAGUGGGGGAAUGACGUCCAAUUCAUCCUGCCCCU